rnacentral:rRNA from 1 species
UACAGAGGUCUCAAGCGUUGUUCGGAUUCAUUGGGCGUAAAGGGUGCGUAGGUGGCGGGGUAAGUCAGGUGUGAAAUCUCGGGGCUCAACCCCGAAACUGCAUUUGAUACUGCCUUGCUCGAGUACUGGAGAGGAGAUUGGAAUUUACGGUGUAGCAGUGAAAUGCGUAGAUAUCGUAAGGAAGACCAGUGGCGAAGGCGAAUCUCUGGACAGUUACUGACACUGAGGCACGAAGGCCAGGGGAGCAAACCGGG